CCCUUAGAUGUUCUGGGCCGCACGCGUGCUACACUGAGUGGAUCAGCGGGUCAGGUUGCGCGAAAGUGUUUCCUAAUCUUUAAAUCCGCUCGUGAUGGGGAUUGACGGUUGCAAUUUUCCGUCAUGAACGAGGAAUACCUUGUAAGCGCGGGUCAUCAUCCCCCGCUGAAUACGUCCCUGCCCUUUGUACACACCGCCCGUCGCUCCUACCGAUUGAGUGGUCCGGUGAGGCUUUGGGAUCUGAGCGGAAAGAGCGUUUCGCUGUUUCUGCCCGGAAAACUCAGUCGAACCUUAUCAUUUAGAGGAAGGAGAAGUCGUAACA
rnacentral:rRNA from 1 species